UCUAUUUACAGUUUUAUAAAAUUUGGGUCACAUAAUCUCCUUGCAAAAUGAAACAAAUUGCCGUUUUAAAAAAUAGGGGUCCAUGCACUUGUUUUCAAAUUAAAUCAGUUUGAAUGAUAAAAAUCAGUCGAAAAAUGCAUCUUUUCCCGAUAUGUCAUAGUUUGACGUCGCGAAAAUAACAUUUUACGUUAGCAACGUCAUUACUUUCCAUGUAACUGUAUCGUAUGCCCUUAACUCAAU
rnacentral:lncRNA from 1 species